AGUGAACGCUGGCGGUAGGCCUAACACACGCAAGUCGAACGGCAGCACAGUAAGAGCUUGCUCUUACGGGUGGCGAGUGGCGGACGAGUGAGGAAUACAUCGGAAUCUACUUUUUCGUGGGGGAUAACGUAGGGAAACUUACGCUAAUACCGCAUACGACCUACGGGUGAAAGCAGGGGAUCUUCGGACCUUGCGCGAUUGAAUGAGCCGAUGUCGGAUUAGCUAGUUGGCGGGGUAAAGGCCCACCAAGGCGACGAUCCGUAGCUGGUCUGAGAGGAUGAUCAGCCACACUGGAACUGAGACACGGUCCAGACUCCUACGGGAGGCAGCAGUGGGGAAUAUUGGACAAUGGGCGCAAGCCUGAUCCAGCCAUACCGCGUGGGUGAAGAAGGCCUUCGGGUUGUAAAGCCCUUUUGUUGGGAAAGAAAAGCAGCAGGUUAAUACCCCGCUGUUCUGACGGUACCCAAAGAAUAAGCACCGGCUAACUUCGUG
rnacentral:rRNA from 1 species